rnacentral:rRNA from 1 species
GAUCUGGUUCAGGAUGAACGCUAGCUACAGGCUUAACACAUGCAAGUCGAGGGGCAGCAUUAUCGAAGCUUGCUUUGAUAGAUGGCGACCGGCGCACGGGUGAGUAACGCGUAUCCAACCUUCCCCAUAGUAGGGCAUAGCCCGUAGAAAUGCGGAUUAAUACCCUAUGUAUUCCGAGGAUGACAUCUGAUUCGGAGCAAAGGUUCACCGCUAUGGGAUGGGGAUGCGUCUGAUUAGGUAGUAGGCGGGGUAACGGCCCACCUAGCCGACGAUCAGUAGGGGUUCUGAGAGGAAGGUCCCCCACAUUGGAACUGAGACACGGUCCAAACUCCUACGGGAGGCAGCAGUGAGGAAUAUUGGUCAAUGGGCGAGAGCCUGAACCAGCCAAGUAGCGUGCAGGAUGACGGCCCUAUGGGUUGUAAACUGCUUUUAUACAGGGAUAAAGUCGGGGACGUGCUCCCCGUUUGCAGGUACUGUAUGAAUAAGGACCGGCUAAUUCCGUGCCAGCCGCCGC